CAAUUCUCCUCAAUUAUUUUUUCAAAAUCUAUCGUUUUCCAAUCUUCCCCAUUCAUCGACGGUUAUGAUUUCUACAUCCAUAUUCCUCAUUCAAAACGGUUUUUAAAAUAUUUCAAUCUCCAUAUUCCACAAACAAGUGGUUUCUACACGGUUAGAGACAACCUUCCAUUUUCUACCAUAAUCUCAUCCUUUCUCUCCUUCUCUCUCUCUAUCGAUCUAUUUCUUAUUUCUUCGUCAUGUACAUCAUCCUUUUCCCUCUCUCUCUUCUGUCUUCUCUUCUUUAUUUUAUUUUUCUUCCUUCUCCUCGGUUUCGGUUGCAGCAAGAAUAGAGAUUUUGUUAAAGAGAUUAUAUUUGUAUUUUACAGUGAGUCAUGCAACUUGGUUUUGAUUGGGUGUGUACCAUGUGUUGUUGGUGGUGGUGGAGUCAUAUCUAUUCUCAUGGCUAAAAUGUCGACACGUGGACAAGUUACUUAUAUAGAAGCAAGAAAUGUUGUUGAUAAAACCGUCGGAGCCUUCAAAACAGUUAGACACUUGCAUCAAUGUGUAGUUAUAACAGUUUAG